ensembl:antisense Gm11696 predicted gene 11696
GCGCUGGUCGAAGUCCUGGCCGUGGAUGAUCCGCAUCUGCUUCAGGAAGGUGGACUUGCCGCUCUCGCCCGCGCCCAGCAGCAGGAUCUUCACCAGCCGCUUCACCCUCCAAAAAACUAUCCCUGAGCUGCCGGUGACCAGCUGAAACCUCAGCUUAUCCUCAGUCGGAGGUUCAGAGAUACGCAUCGGUGACCCCAGACACACUUCGCUCGGAAGCGUCAGACCCACUCCAGCUGCUGGUUUAUACAGCACUACACAAAGCCCUGCUCGCUCACACACACUCCUUGAUGUGCAUGCAGAGGCCAGAGCAGGAUGUUAAGACAGGCUCUCUCAUUGAAGCAGAAGUUCCCCAUCUUAGGGACAGCAUCAGGAGAUGGCUUGAGUGGAGCCUCUGAGCCAUGGCCAACUGGAAGCCUCUUUUGCCUGGAGUGAGAGGUACUGCCGGCUGGGAGGAUGCCCCUUUCCCAGAGGCCAGACUAGACCUCAACAGCUUCCAAGUUCCCAGACUCUCAGGAUGGAUCUCAGCCCAGUUACUCCAUCUCACUCAUUCACUAGCUGGUCCUCAGCUUGGAGCCGUUAGUACCCUUCCCACGGGAGUCCGGGGGAGUCUCUGGCUAUCCCCACCCUUCCCAAGGCCAUCCUGGGCGGGGAGCCAAAAAAACAAUUUAUGGAAAAAGCAGAGGCCGAAUAUAAAUUAUUUUUUAACUAACCUCCGGUUAUCUGAUCACCCGGGAUGUCUGCUCAGUGAAGAAAUCCUAAGAGUUAAAACAUUUCAAGAAGAGAUAGCGUCACUUCUUUUUGGGGGUGCAGCCAGAGGCAGGGUGUGCCCCCAGAAGACUCUCCUCUGCUGAUCCACAUGUGUAGUAGUGAGAAGCGAGGAGAGGGCAGGGGAUGCGCAGCUCAGUGGCAGAGUGCAUGCCUAGCAUGUGGCAGACCUGGGUUUGAGCCCCAGCAAAGGGACAGGUCAAGAGGCAGGGCUUUAAGAGCAAAGUACUUAAGAAUUUAAAAAAGAAUAACAAGUACUGUCCUGGCUUUCUAAGAAGGGAGUGGAUCACGGGACUCCCAACUCAUUUGUUUUAAACAGUGGAGGAGCUGGGGUUGGGGAAGGCUUUCAGCCCCUCCUGGGACAGACAAAUAUCAUGGUUAAUUUGCCAGGGGAAGCACAGCAAGUUCCCAAGGGGAGGCUAAAACCAAGAGCCUUCAACUUGUUUCCAGAUCUUGUUUCCAGAGAGAUUUGCGCCUCCAUGCCCCGUGGAGAAUGAUGAAAUCUCAAUCAAUAAGGAACUUUGUUAAUAACCAGGAACUAUGUGAUGUUUCUGAAAAGCUUUCCUGCCAGUGCCUAGUGUGGUCUUCUCAGAAAGUAAUAACAUGUCCUUACAGAGAAGUUUCUAUUAACAAAUUGCUUUCUUGGUUAAUCUUUUUUUCUUUUCAACGGUUCCAGCCACUGUGUGUGUAUGUGUGUGUGUUGCUCUUUAUAUAUAAUAUAUAUGUUAUGUAUGGUAUUGUAACAUUUAUUUAACAUAUUGUGUUUUUUAAAAAACAUUUACCUGUUUUUACUCACAUAUGCAUGUGUUGCUUUAAUAUAUGUUAUAUGUUGCGUAUAGUAUAACAUUUAUUUAACAUAUAUUGUUUGUUUUCUAUAUAUUUACUUAUUGCUUUUACAUGUGUGUGUGCAUGAUUUUACCCACAUGCAUGCAGGUACCUGUAGAGACCAGAGAACAUCAGAUCCCCUGGAGCUGGAGCUCCAGGUUGUCUAGGGUUUUUAUUACUUCAAUAAAACACCAUGACCAAAAAGCAA